rnacentral:lncRNA from 1 species
UGUAAACACAGAUGAAGCUUCGUUCGCUCACCCACUGCUCACCUCUCCUGCUGUGGGGCCUGGUUCCUACAGGCCUGGGGGUCGGGGACCCCUUAUGUAGAAAAUCGGUUGAGAGUUGUCAUUGCUGUCAUGAGAAUCUGUAGACAGGAUGACAGAGGCACAGGGAUGGAGGGACACAGCCCAGGAGGCGCUUCAACGUUUCCUUUGCUGUAAAGUUCCCUGGCAUCAGCUGAGACUGUGAACAUUUCUUCUUGCCUAAGUGUGGCGUGAAGUGUGGGGUGCCCCAUGAAAAGAUUACCUCUCUGUUAGGACUCAUUGGAUUAGAGUGGAUCCACCAAGAUAACUCAGAAUCAUCUCCCCGACUCAAGGACUCCUUAAUCACAUCUGCAAUGUCCCUCAGAAUGGGGAAGAUAUAUACUUCUGGGAUGUGCAACCGGACAUGCCCACUGAGGUGGAAUCUGAGCGCUAGGAAGAGCCCAAGCCAGCUGCCAGGGAACUGACAUCAAGGGUCUACCAUGAAGCAAGGGAGUGACCCUGGAGUAGAUCCAACUCAGGAAUGGGAAAUGGAGGAGCACUUGACUGUCACUGCAACAAACAAAGGAACUUCCUGGUGAUUGCCCACGUGUUCCCUCACAUUUCUCACCCUCCCUUCAGGCACAAAGGAGGCCAGUGCUCCACAUGCUGCAAGCUGGCAGAGCCUCUGUCAGCCUGGAUCCCUUAAUGACUACGUGGAACAGAGCUCCCCAGCAGACCCAUGUUGGAAUCACAGCUUGAGCAAGAAAGAAACUUUGUUGCGCUAUGCCUACUAAAAUUUGGGGGUUAACUUGUUACUGCAGCAUAACCUAAUCUAGCCCUGAUUAAUAUUUCAAGUUUGCUUUUAGAUUGAUAAUCUCUUUAUGAGCCUCUUUUAGACAGUCUACAUCCUUAAACUGUCUUGCAAGCACUUCUAAGCUGAGUAUGACCUGCUGCUCUGGAACCUCUUACAGUCACCCUGUUGAGCUUCCUUUUAUGCUAGAACUGUAGUCUCUCUGGGAUCAGCAAGAGAUUCCAGGAAUUCACUUCAUAUUUCCCUUUGCCAGAAUUACAAGACCUACAACUGGGA